GACAGUCUUGGCGGAAUGCCAGCUCUCUGAUUUCACACACUUAUCAACAUACCAGUUAUCUAGUGUUAUGUAACAACCCCACAACUUAGCUGUUCAAAGGAACAAGCAUUUAUUAUCUGAGUUUUGGUGGGGCAGGAAUGCUGGUCUGGCUUAGAUGGGUGCUUCUGACUCAGGAUCUCCCAUGAGGUCACAGUCAAGCUGUGCACCAGGGCUGCAGUCAUCUCAAUGGCCACCUCGAUCCAGAGUGUCGGCUUCAAAUCUCACUCACAUGGUUGUUGGUAGAACUCACUCAGUUCCUUGAUGCGUGGACCUCUACACAGGUGGCCUAAUGUUAUGUGUCCUCAUGUUAUGGCAACAAGUAAAGAAAGAGAGAGAGACCGCAAGAGAAAGCGAUCAAGAUGAAAGCAUUUAUUAUGAAGGAAAUCUGAAACAUGCAGCAGACUUGGAAGACUUCCUAUGCAAACCUGUAAAGCCACCACCUAGAUUCUACCACACAUUUUGUCGCAUGACAUUUUGUUGUUCAACCAUCUAUUCCUCUGUCAGCGGAUCUGUUGAGUUCUGAAAGAUUUAAAAGUAAACUGCAUACCUUGUUACAGGCUCCGCAUGCACAAAAUUAACUGCAGUUCAGUAUUUUUCUUUCAAUACAAAUGUUAUAUACAUUCACAUGAUCGUAAGUAUAAAUUCACUGUAUUGAUGAAAUAAGGUACUUAAGGGAUAAAGAUAUAGGAUAUUGUUUUCACCCCCCAAAGUUACUUUAAAUCCCUUACCCUGGUAAUACCCCCUCCACACACACACAUAUUCGCACAAACAUGCACAGUUGCCUCACUUCUGACUUUCUGUUUCAUCACACAUUAGUUUUGCCUAUUCUGGAAUUUCAAAUAAAUGUACUCUUUUGUGUAAGGUUUUCUUUUUUCCACAUCAUUUAAUGUUAUUGAAAUUCACUCAUUUUGAUGUGUGUAUCAGUAGUUUGUACUUUUUGCAAGUGACGGUUUACUGUAUGACCGUAUCACAGUUUGUUUAUCGAUUGAUGAACACCUGGCCGUGCCCAUUUGGGGGAUGUUAUGAAUAAAAUUGCUG
rnacentral:lncRNA from 1 species